GAACGAACGCCUGGCGGCAUGCCUUACACAUGCAAAGUCGAACGGCAGCACGGGAGCAAGUCCUGGUGGCGAGUGGCGAACGGGUGAGUAAUAUAUCGGAACGUGCCCAGUCGUGGGGGAUAACGUAGCGAAAGCUACGCUAAUACCGCAUACGAUCUAUGGAUGAAAGCGGGGGAUCGCAAGACCUCGCGCGAUUGGAGCGGCCGAUAUCAGAUUAGGUAGUUGGUGAGGUAAAGGCUCACCAAGCCGACGAUCUGUAGCUGGUCUGAGAGGACGACCAGCCACACUGGGACUGAGACACGGCCCAGACUCCUACGGGAGGCAGCAGUGGGAAUUUUGGACAAUGGGCGCAAGCCUGAUCCAGCAAUGCCGCGUGCAGGAUGGAGGCCUUCGGGUUGUAAACUGCUUUGUACGGAACGAAACGGUGAGCUCUAAUACAGUUUGCUAAUGACGGUACCGUAAGAAUAAGCACCGGCUAACUACGUG
rnacentral:rRNA from 1 species